rnacentral:misc_RNA from 1 species
GUGUGUAUAAGAGACAGGUGAAUCAUCGAAUCUUUGAACGCACAUUGCGCCCUUCGGUAUUCCGUUGGGCAUGCCUGUUCGAGCGUCAUUUAAACCUUCAAGCUCUGCUUGGUGUUGGGUGUUUGUUCCGCCUUAGCGUGUGGACUCGCCUUAAAUUCAUUGGCAGCCGGUAUAUUGGCUUCGUGCGCAGUACAUUGUGUCACGACCCCAGUACGCCUCCUCCCAUUAAGCUUUUUUUUAACCUUGACCUCGGAUCAGGUAGGGAUACCCGCUGAACUUAAGCAUAUCAAUAAGCGGAGG